UACGAGAGGUCCAAGCGUUAGUCGGAAUCACUGGGCUUAAAGGGUGCGUAGGCGGAUCGGUAAGCGUCUUGUGAAAUCCCCCGGCUCAACCGGGGAAAUGCAGGGCGAACUGCCAGUCUUGAGGAAGGUAGAGGCCAGCGGAACGAUCGGUGGAGCGGUGGAAUGCGUAGAGAUCGAUCGGAACGCCAAAGGUGAAGACAGCUGGCUGGGCCUUUCCUGACGCUGAGGCACGAAAGCGUGGGGAUCAAACAGG
rnacentral:rRNA from 1 species